UCAUACGCUUACGGAUACAGCAGCUAUCCAGAUUGGGUUUCAUUUCGUUCUCUUCAUUUGUUGGCCUGAUGAGACUACAUCUCAAGCCUUCGGUACCAGAGGAGUCUUCAAACGCUUUCUAUUAUUCUUCAAUACCAGCAAACAGACCAUCCGCAUACUACAAAUUACAUUUAGUUAUUACCCUAAUCCCUCGUCCAAAUUGAUACAUGUUCACCCAUUCCCCAGCCAUUUUCGAGGUUAGGGUAGGGCUUUCGUUGUCAUUAGUCUUCUCAAUUAUAUAUGAGCUAUAAAUCUUAAGGUGCAUGUAUCGAUCGUAAUGUCAUAUAUAUAACCUCAAUACCAGUCGAUUGGGACGAGAUAAGCCAGGACCGAAUAUCUUCAUGCCCAGCAAGCCAAUUAUCUAACAUGGUC
rnacentral:sRNA from 1 species